GACGAACGCUGGCGGCGUGCUUAACACAUGCAAGUCGAACGGAAAGGCCCUGCUUUUGUGGGGUGCUCGAGUGGCGAACGGGUGAGUAACACGUGAGUAACCUGCCCUUGACUUUGGGAUAACUUCAGGAAACUGGGGCUAAUACCGGAUAGGAGCUCCUGCUGCAUGGUGGGGGUUGGAAAGUUUCGGCGGUUGGGGAUGGACUCGCGGCUUAUCAGCUUGUUGGUGGGGUAGUGGCUUACCAAGGCUUUGACGGGUAGCCGGCCUGAGAGGGUGACCGGCCACAUUGGGACUGAGAUACGGCCCAGACUCCUACGGGAGGCAGCAGUGGGGAAUAUUGCACAAUGGGCGGAAGCCUGAUGCAGCAACGCCGCGUGCGGGAUGACGGCCUUCGGGUUGUAAACCGCUUUCAGCAGGGACGAAGCUUUUUGUGACGGUACCUGCAGAAGAAGCACCGGCUAACUACGUG
rnacentral:rRNA from 1 species